AUUCUGUUAAAGAAAUAGGAAAAGUUGACGAAGUGCAUCAGUAUCAUUUGUGAAUCAGUGUAGUGCAUCAGAAUAGCGGAGGAAGUACAACAAGUACCAGGGGUACAAACGGCAUUCUAGGACAAAGCAGACGCAAUUAAAGGGCAGCUUCACAGCUUCUGACACACUUAAUUGCCAAGUUGGACUGGUUUGAACCACAGCAAAGUGGUCAAGAGUCAGCUGCAUCUUCAAUAUCUUCAGCUAGUUGAAGGUCACCAGACGAUGAGCUCUUCCAGAUUUAAAGACCUUUUCUGUUCAAGGGAUUCUUCAUGAAAGCAUCUCAACGUUACCGGUAUGGACGGGUUCGCUUUGAGGGAGCCUUGGUUGAAUUUAUAAUCGAGUCGAGUCGAGUCGAGAAACAAUUGCAAUGAAGCUUCGAUAAAACACACAAACUAAUAAAGUAAACAGACGAUGCAUCCAAUUUGUGGCCGCCUGUUAUCAUCAUCGAAGAGCACGCCUUAAUUGGGUUGACGACAUCUCCGAUCUCCGAUCUCCGAUUCACUAUCUACCUAUCGAGAUCGAGGGAUGCGCACUCACAAUCGAGAUCUGAAUGUGCGCGUAUUCAUGUGAAUAUUCUAAUCAGUCUUGAGAUUGCGUCAUGCGGUUUUUUUUCUUUUUCAUUUUGUUCUUCUUGUUGUGUGUCAUGUGAUUCGACAGCAGAGCAUUGAAAGAUUUCUGAAAUACCCUGAAAUCAAUGUUCGAAGUUCGCACAAUGUUAUACCCUAAGUUGAAAUCUAAUUGCAAAUUUGAUGUAUCAAUCAAAGUUUGUGAUGCUCGGUAAUGUUAUUACGUAUUAUUUUGGUUUGCAAUCCAGUUCUGAGAAUGGGGUGAAUGCAUUCCAGAAAUGAAAUUAUUGAAUGAUUUAAUGACAACACGAUCAUGUCGAUUCGGUUUUAGAUAAUCAAACAAAACAAAAGUCGAACUCAAGCCUUUUAAUUGAGCUGAUUUAUCUUGGUUAAAAUUCACUUGUGGCAUACAAACUGCGAGUUAAGCUCGUUUACAGUUACGCUCAUUCAACUGCGGUCCGUUAACCCAACCCAACUCCUCUUUAGGCCUGGUUUCGUAUUGAGUCUAGGCUUGAAUUUGGCUUGGGAACUCAGGUAAUGUUUUCACAGAGAAUGCGUCAUAUUUCUUUGCCCAGUGCAAUGACAUUUUUUCCAGCUAAAUUGCGAUCAUUGUUGUAGGUUUUUCGUUUUGUUUUGGUUUUUGUUUUCUUUAUAACUCAAACGUGAUCGGAACAGUUUGAGUUAAGAGACUUGGUUUGUAGUUGUUGUUGCUAAUUUGCGAAAUGAAUUGACAAGAAGCCGCAAUUGUGGCUCAUCGCAUCGCUGCUUUUUAGGUAUCACGUCCGGAGGCCUUAUCUACCCAGCCUCAGCCUCAGUUUCAGUUUCAGUUCCAUUUCCAGUCGCAUUCUCAAAGCCCGUCAAUCGCACAAUCUCUAGCGACCUUUUUUUGCUGUUGUUGUUUUUGGGUACAUUCGAGUGCUCGUGUCUGCAUCAAUUAGAUAAGUUGUCAGCGCGAUAACUUGGCCAAAAUUUAUAGACAAUGAUAAGAGCUUGAAUCUUUAUGGGCCAAGCUCAACGACUGCGUCGGUGACAGAACAGAAGAAACAGCAUCAGCUGUAUUCAGUAUUCAGUAUUCAGUAUCAUUGUUGUUGGCUACGGGAAGCGCUUAGACAGCUGAAACCCAGCACUGUCAUCGCUGCCGCCUCGUUAUCAAUCGGUAUUAGGCUUAUCUCGCUAGGUAAACAACAGAAUCACAGCAACCAGACAACAACACUCGACACUCGACACGAGUGCGAUUCCGACUCCGAUUCUUUAGACUUUGCUGUCCAUGCGACAUGACUUUUUGUUUUUGACAGGAUCAAGGGCCUGCUUAAUGUGUAUUGCAAAAU